UACGGAGGGUCCGAGCGUUGUCCGGAUUCAUUGGGUUUAAAGGGUGCGUAGGCGGUCUGGUAAGUCAGCUGUGAAAGCUUACGGCUCAACCGUGAAAUUGCAGUUGAUACUGUUAGUCUUGAGUAUAGAUGAGGUGGGCGGAAUUUGUGGUGUAGCGGUGAAAUGCUUAGAUAUCACAAAGAACUCCGAUUGCGAAGGCAGCGCACUGGGGUGUGACUGACGCUGAUGCACGAAGGUGUGGGUAGCAAACAGG
rnacentral:rRNA from 1 species